rnacentral:tRNA from 4 species
GGGCCUAUAGCUCAGCUGGUUAGAGCACCUGACUCAUAAUCAGGGGGUCCCUGGUUCAAGCCCAGGUGGGCCCACCC